AGCCAUAUCAUAUUGAAACAUUGGUUCCCAUAUGAUCAACAAAGUUAAGCAACAUCGAUUCUGGUCAGUACCUAGUUGGGUGACUGCUUGAGAAUAUCAGGUGCUGUAAG